GCGGGCUCACCCCGCCCAGUUGCCAUUAGUUACCCGGACGCGCCUUCUAUCCUAUAUCCACGUAAAAUGCUCCCUGCUGUCACUUUUGGGACACUCCCCUCACCCACUGCCCCCAGAGGCCGACACAGUUUCGCAACAGCCUUCUCAAGACUUCCUCAGAGCCCCUUAAUUGCGGGACCCGUCAAGGCUUGGGGGCCCCAGGUCCUCCCCAAGAGCCAACUCUCGGCUCACUCCAUCCUAUUCUUGGGAGCUGAGCAGCGGCACAUUCCUCACCGUUGUCUCCCCGCCUGAAGGAGGAGGAUAAAAGCCAAAGAAGGGGCAGAGAUCGCCACUGAUGGGAAUGUUCAAGAGAAUAUCUCAAAGAAUUCUAUGGUAGGAAUUCCCUGAUGGCCCAGUGGUUAGGGCUCCAUGAUUUUACUGCUGAGGGCCUGUGCAAGCUGAGUGGCACAACGGAAAAAAAAAAAAAAGGAAUCCUAGAUCAUUUCCAAAAGAAGCAUUCCAGAAAUGUCUACCCAAAGAUGGCCCCACUAGAAUAGUUGGCAGAUUAACUGAGACUGUUAGAAGAUUAAUUGAGAUGGUUUUCAGUGGCAAGUAAUAAAUAACCUGACCAGCAGUGGCUUUAACACUUGAGAUUGUUUUCAC
ensembl:lncRNA